UGGUCAAGUUAUUAAGGGUGCAGGGUGGAUGCCUUGGCACUAGGAGCCGAUGAAGGACGUGAUAAGCUGCGAUAAGCUUCGGGGAGUUGCACGUAAACUUUGAUCCGAAGAUUUCCGAAUGAGGAAACUCACUUAGAGUAAUGUCUAAGUAUCAUUAAGUGAAUACAUAGCUUAAUGAGGGGAACUCAGGGAACUGAAACAUCUAAGUACCUGAAGGAAGAGAAAGAAAUUCGAUUCCGUAAGUAGCGGCGAG
rnacentral:rRNA from 1 species